AUUGAACGCUUGCGGCAUGCCUUACACAUGCAAGUCGAACGGCAGCGCGGACUUCGGUCUGGCGGCGAGUGGCGAACGGGUGAGUAAUACAUCGGAACGUACCCUGUUGUGGGGGAUAACUAGUCGAAAGAUUAGCUAAUACCGCAUACGACCUGAGGGUGAAAGUGGGGGACCGCAAGGACUCACGCAGCAGGAGCGGCCGAUGGCUGAUUAGCUAGUUGGUGGGGUAAAGGCCCACCAAGGCGACGAUCAGUAGCUGGUCUGAGAGGACGAUCAGCCACACUGGGACUGAGACACGGCCCAGACUCCUACGGGAGGCAGCAGUGGGGAAUUUUGGACAAUGGGGGCAACCCUGAUCCAGCAAUGCCGCGUGUGUGAAGAAGGCCUUCGGGUUGUAAAGCACUUUUGUCCGGAAAGAAAUCGCGCUGGUUAAUACCUGGCGUGGAUGACGGUACCGGAAGAAUAAGCACCGGCUAACUACGUGCCAGCCGCCGCGGUAA
rnacentral:rRNA from 1 species